GCUAUCAACAGACAAACAACAGCAGCAGUGAGAGCGUGCGAGACUACGACGAAGACGGUUCGCCGAGAGUUACGCACAGAGUAUGUGCUGGCGGCGUAUAACGGCGGACGGACAAAAACAAAGUGUGCGUGCGUGUGUGUGUGUUUCUCUUUAUUUUCUUUUGUAACAACAAAUAUUAGUUAAAUCAUAAUUACCUAUAUUGUACAAAUCGAAAACUGCAGAAAUAUGCAGCGUUUUGUCAGCAGCAGCGGCAGCAGCAGCACUAUUAGUAGCAGAGCAGCGGCAGAGCAGCCACCACGGUCGUUUAGCAGCCAGCACCAAGAAGACGAAGAGCAAGACGAAAAGUAAAACAACAAUAAAGCUGGCCAUAUUCAUACAAAAAAAAAAAAAAAAA